rnacentral:rRNA from 1 species
UACGGAGGGUGCGAGCGUUAAUCGGAAUUACUGGGCGUAAAGGGUGCGUAGGUGGUUGAUUAAGUUAUCUGUGAAAUUCCUGGGCUUAACCUGGGCAGGUCAGAUGAUACUGAUUGACUCGAGUAUGGGAGAGGGUAGUGGAAUUUCCGGUGUAGCGGUGAAAUGCGUAGAGAUCGGAAGGAACACCGGUGGCGAAGGCGGCUACCUGGCCUGAUACUGACACUGAGGCACGAAAGCGUGGGGAGCAAACAGG